UCGCUGGUGUAGUGGUAGCGCGAGCGCUUGCUUAGGGUGAGACGAGGGUUCAUUUCCCGCCUGAAGAA